GACGUAGGGCGCGAGCGUUGUCCGGAUUUAUUGGGCGUAAAGAGCUCGUAGGCGGCUUGUCGCGUCAACUGUGAAAACCCGUGGCUCAACCAUGUGGUCUGCAGUCGAUACGGGCAGGCUAGAAUUCGGUAGGGGAGACUGGAAUUCCUGGUGUAGCGGUGAAAUGCGCAGAUAUCGAGGAGGAACACCGGUGGCGAAGGCGGGUCUCUGGGC
rnacentral:rRNA from 1 species